rnacentral:rRNA from 1 species
AUUUAACGAAAGUGGCGAACGGGUGAGUAACACGUGAGCAACCUGCCUUACACAGGGGAUAGCCAUUGGAAACGGUGAUUAAUACCCCAUAAGACCACAAUACCGCAUGGUAAAAGGGUAAAAGGGAUACUGGUGUAAGAUGGGCUCGCGUCUGAUUAGCUAGUUGGUGGGGUAAAGGCCUACCAAGGCGACGAUCAGUAGCCGGUCUGAGAGGAUGAACGGCCACAUUGGAACUGAGACACGGUCCAAACUCCUACGGGAGGCAGCAGGU